AUACGAAAGGUGCAAGCGUUGUUCGGAUUUACUGGGCGUAAAGAGAUCGUAGGUGGUUUAUUAAGUCGGAUGUGAAAUCCCGGGACUCAACCCCGGAACUGCAUUCGAUACUGGUAGACUAGAGUUUGGGAGGGGUAAGCGGAAUUCCGUGUGUAGCAGUGAAAUGCGUAGAUAUACGGAGGAACACCUGAGGCGAAGGCGGCUUACUGGACCAAUACUGACACUGAGGAUCGAAAGCGUGGGUAGCAAACAGGAUUAGAAACCCUAGUAGUCC
rnacentral:rRNA from 1 species